GACGAACGCUGGCGGUGUGCUUCACACAUGCAAGUCGAACGAGGUAGCAAUACCUAGUGGCGGACGGGUGAGUAACGCGUGGGAAUCUGCCUUUAGAUGGGGGAUAACGGGUCGAAAGACUCGCUAAUACCGCAUAUGACGAAAGUUGAAAGGAGUAAUCCGUCUAAAGAUGAGCCCGCGUCCGAUUAGCUAGUUGGUAGAGUAAAAGCCUACCAAGGCGACGAUCGGUAGCUGGUCUGAGAGGAUGAUCAGCCACAAUGGGACUGAGACACGGCCCAUACUCCUACGGGAGGCAGCAGUGGGGAAUUUUACGCAAUGGGCGAAAGCCUGACGUAGCGACACCGCGUGAGCGAAGAAGCCCCUUUGGGGUGUAAAAGCUCUGUCAGCUGGAACGAAAAAAAAUGCGGUACCAGCAGAGGAAGCCAUU
rnacentral:rRNA from 1 species